rfam:Nitrospira sp. OLB3 TZ03_NOB00100CONTIG000050, whole genome shotgun sequence.
UCUCCUACAGUCUGCUCCGUUCAUAGACACCUUGGGCCAAGGGAAGAGGGUGCGAAGCCCUCGCGGUCCCGCCGCUGUAAAUGGGGACGAAACCCGCAGGCGCCACUGUUCACCGGUCGGUGAACGGGAAGGCGCGGGGAGUAGGACGAACCAUGAGCCAGAAGACCUGCCCGAGGGGAGACCCUUUA